CCUAAGGUAGCGAAAUUCCUUGUCGGGUAAGUUCCGACCUGCACGAAUGGCGUAAUGAUGGCCAGGCUGUCUCCACCCGAGACUCAGUGAAAUUGAACUCGCUGUGAAGAUGCAGUGUACCCGCGGCAAGACGGAAAGACCCCGUGAACCUUUACUAUAGCUUGACACUGAACAUUGAGCCUUGAUGUGUAGGAUAGGUGGGAGGCUUUGAAGUGUGGACGCCAGUCUGCAUGGAGCCGACCUUGAAAUACCACCCUUUAAUGUUUGAUGUUCUAACGUUGGCCCGUAAUCCGGGUUGCGGACAGUGUCUGGUGGGUAGUUUGACUGGGGCGGUCUCCUCCUAAAGAGUAACGGAGGAGCACGAAGGUUGGCUAAUCCUGGUCGGACAUCAGGAGGUUAGUGCAAUGGCAUAAGCCAGCUUGACUGCGAGCGUGACGGCGCGAGCAGGUGCGAAAGCAGGUCAUAGUGAUCCGGUGGUUCUGAAUGGAAGGGCCAUCGCUCAACGGAUAAAAGGUACUCCGGGGAUAACAGGCUGAUACCGCCCAAGAGUUCAUAUCGACGGCGGUGUUUGGCACCUCGAUGUCGGCUCAUCACAUCCUGGGGCUGAAGUAGGUCCCAAGGGUAUGGCUGUUCGCCAUUUAAAGUGGUACGCGAGCUGGGUUUAGAACGUCGUGAGACAGUUCGGUCCCUAUCUGCCGUGGGCGCUGGAGAACUGAGGGGGGCUGCUCCUAGUACGAGAGGACCGGAGUGGACGCAUCACUGGUGUUCGGGUUGUCAUGCCAAUGGCACUGCCCGGUAGCUAAAUGCGGAAGAGAUAAGUGCUGAAAGCAUCUAAGCACGAAACUUGCCCCGAGAUGAGUUCUCCCUGACUCCUUGAGAGUCCUGAAGGAACGUUGAAGACGACGACGUUGAUAGGCCGGGUGUGUAAGCGCAGCGAUGCGUUGAGCUAACCGGUACUAAUGAACCGUGAGGCUUAACCUU
rnacentral:rRNA from 2 species